AGAGUUUGAUCCUGGCUCAGGACAAACGCUGGCGGCGUGCCUAAGACAUGCAAGUCGGACGGAGGGCUUCGGCCUUCAGUGGCGGACGGGUGAGGAACGCGUGGAGAACCUGCCCCGGAGUGGGGGAUACCCGCCAGAAAUGGCGGCUAAGACCGCAUACGAUCCUCUGGCGAUGGUCAGAGGAGGAAAACCCUCGGGUG
rnacentral:rRNA from 1 species